rnacentral:tRNA from 1 species
AAGUCUUAUAGUCAUUUAUGAUAUAAAAUUGCAAAUUUUAAGGUGGAAAAAUUUCUAAGGCUU